GGGGGUACAGUUCAGUGGUAGAGCCUUUGAUUGUAGGUCAAGAGGUCCCCGCUUCAAAUCCUAGUGCCCCCU
rnacentral:tRNA from 1 species